GACAAUAAUAAAUAAGAAAAUCAUUGUUUAAGCAUUUAGAACAUUUUUUACACAUUUCGAGAAAUAAAGCAAAUGAAAUGUUUUGGAAUCAAAUCAAACAUGGGUUUGAGAUUUGUUUACUUCUCAGUACAUACAUAAGGAGAAAGUGAAGAGACUAAUGAUACUGAGAGGUAUUUGAUGGAAUGACAAAUCUAUUAACCUUCUUCUCCAAACUCCUGUGUGAAUCUCUCAUGGACGUCAAGGUCGGAUU
rnacentral:lncRNA from 1 species